UACGGGAGGCAGCAGUAGGGAAUCUUCCACAAUGGACGAAAGUCUGAUGGAGCAACGCCGCGUGAGUGAUGAAGGUUUUCGGAUCGUAAAACUCUGUUGUAAGGGAAGAACAGGCAUGAGAGGUAAUGCUC
rnacentral:rRNA from 1 species